GCCCGUGUAGUUUUAGCUAAAACAUAACACUGAAGAUGUUAAGAGGGGCCUUAGAAAGCCUCGCGAGCA
rnacentral:tRNA from 1 species